AAGCCCCUGGGGGAGAUGCCAUGCUCACUAAGGUGGUUUCCCAGGGUGAGGCUUAUCCAUUGCACUCCUGAUGUGCUGACCCCUGCGCUUUCCCCAAAUGUGGGACACUCGACUGCAUCAUUUGUGGUGGUGGGGGACUGCGUCUGCGCUCUCCCCUG